AUUGAACGCUGGCGGCAGGCCUAACACAUGCAAGUCGAGCGAGCGGCGGACGGGUGAGUAAUGUAUGGGAAUCUGCCUGAUGGAGGGGGAUAACUACUGGAAACGGUGGCUAAUACCGCAUACUAUCGGAUGAACCCAUAUGGGAUUAGCUAGUAGGUGGGGUAAAGGCUCACCUAGGCGACGAUCUCUAGCUGGUCUGAGAGGAUGAUCGGCCACACUGGGACUGAGACACGGCCCAGACUCCUACGGGAGGCAGCAGUAGGGAAUAUUGCACAAUGGGCGCAAGCCUGAUGCAGCCAUGCCGCGUGGAUGAAGAAGGCCUUAGGGUUGUAAAGUUCUUUCAGCGGGGAGGCGUUACCUGCAGAAGAAGCACCGGCUAACUACGUGCCAGCAGCCGCGGUAAUAC
rnacentral:rRNA from 1 species